ACAGCUAGAGUUCACACAGAGCUGAAGAUUCAGCCUAGAAGUAUAUACAGUUUUAUAGUUUUUAGGUCAGUCACAUUGUGGGGCAGGAUGACUGACAUCCACUUUAAUUAGAAUCAUUAUUUUCCCAAACAGGACAGAAAGGGGGGAAGCAGGGCUGUAUAUAAUGUCUUACCUUCUUUGAAUUAGGAACUAGGAUGCUAUGCAGUGAGUUGCUAUUGGACACUUUUAAAAAAGAUGAAUUCUAGAAGGAAAGGCAAACACUUUGAUCAAAUUCGCUCACUAGCAAAGAAUGAACUGCAGACCUACGUUAGUUAAGGAGGCAGUAUUUACAAUGCAAUAGAACUUGACGUCUUAAAUUACUUUGAAUUCCUUUCUCACGGAAACUGCUCCAUAGACAAACAUCACGUUAUUCCUCAGCCAGCCCAACGAAAGCAUCGUCUAGAUAAGACUUUAUGUUCAAAAAUGCCACCACGUUGUAAAGGGACAGGGAAUUCGAUGGCAGAUGAGAAACCCAUGACCCAUCGCCUGUACUCCCAAAUCUCCAAGGGUGACAUAAAGCCAUGAGCUGUUGAUGAUUCCUUCUGUGUUUGGCUGAUCCCUCAAAAACAUGGGUGUGUGGCCCAGACCUGCCUUCUCUCCUAGGUCCAUUUUCGUCCCUGAAAGGUGUUCUGUGCUGAGGACAGGAGAGGUGGCUGCAGGACAGUCUGACAUGAUGCCUGGCAUCGCCGUAUUGCUGAGGGCUCCUGGAGGAGUUGGAGAAGGUACAAAGGCGCCUGCUCCAGGCACUCACGGGGCCUCCGGGAGCUGCAGACCCACUGCAAAAGUGGCCAAGAGUUCUGGAGGCUUCGCUCUGGAAAAUUAUCUUUUAUUUCCUAAAAAGAUCACCUGCUGUGGUAGGACUUCUUUUCCCGGCUGCACAUCUGUCUGACCCAGGUGCUGGCCGUCCUGAGGAUGUCACCAAGUCCAGCUGAUCUGGAGCAGCUCCUCUCCAAAGAGGCAGAUACAGGGCCACCUGGUGGGCCGGGCUUCGGGGAUUCUCAAUGCUCCCCAGCCUUUCAUGGGGGAACUCCAUUGCAGGAAGCCACCGCCGCCUUCCCGGUCACACUCACGCCCAGGAUCACUCCCAGAGUGGCCCUUCUUCUCCCAAAGCCGAGCCCCCUGGACCUGCCGGCCAUGGCUCCUCUGUGUCCUCCAGUCUUUAGGAAUCCUCCCCACCUCCAUGCUGAGUCCACCCGGAGCUAUGGCUAAGGAUUGAAACCAAAGGCAAGUGGAAGCUGAGGACACGGGCAGCCUGGGGCCCAGGGAGUGACACCCCCAGGGAGGGGAAUCUGGUGGAGCUCUGGGACAGGACGAGGAGCACAUCCGUGCACCCAAGGAACCAUGCAGCUGGCGGAGAAUGAAGAGGCAGGACCGCAGCUGCCCUUGCAGGUGACCCUGCAGGUGAACGCCAGGACCGGGGCACGUGGAGGCUUAAACAGCACCAAGCAGCUCUUGGGGAUGCCGGCAGCCGCCUGGCACGCGGCUGCGGGGACAAGGUAGCCUUGCGGCCCAGGGCGUGGGCUCUGAGGUAGGAUUGUCGGAUCUGCUGCUAGGGGGCAGGAUCUACACAGCGUUGGCCGGGCAACUCGGAAAGGGCAGUGUCUAGACGAGCAGGUAGACCAGAGUAAACAGUCGCUGCCGGUUUAUGGGCUAAGUCAUAUAAAAAUCCAAUCCAGCAAAUGGUCAAAAUAAAAUGCUUGGUAAAAUAUAUUCUUUGAAAAAGGCGAGAGAAGUUUCACUAACCAGAUGGAAAAUGGAGGUGGCAGGUGACAGGCAGCCUGGGGCCCAGGACAGGGAGGAAAAGCAGGAGAAGAUGGAAACAUGCUUUGGGGACAGGGCCAAGGCAGGCUGCGGGCUCAGAGCCCUGAAAGCGAGCUCUCUUUGCGAGAGAUGCAGAUGACUCAGUGAGCAUCUCUGGGAGAAGGUCCUUGCUCCCAGGGAAGAGGCUGGGCUCCAGCCUCUCAGCCUUGGACUCUGGGCAGUGGGGGCGAGGAACACCCUGAUAUUGCUGUUUGCUGCCUUCUUCAGAGGAUCUGCCCCCCCCCCCGGGGGGGGGGCAGAACCACCCUUGGGGCCACCUGCUGCUUUCAGGAUGACAGUAGAAUGGGUCUCCAAGCAAAGGUAGGAGGUUUUAAGAGGCUCCCCCAUGGCCUCCCAUCUCGUGUGUCACGUGCUACGAAUCUGGGUGGGGCUCAGCCUGGAAGAAAGCAACUCAUGACAGGCUUGCAUUCCAGAAAAGAGCCACCAGGUGAAGACUCCUCACUCUGUCAUUCCAAUUUCAGUAUUUUCCUGUGUUUAAGAACUAAGAACCAAGUAAAUGAAUUUUAGUGAACUAUCGUGUGUGUGCGUGCACACUGUGCACAUGCGUGAGAGAGACAGAAAGACAGAGAGAUUGGCUGAUUAAUGAAGGACCAUAGGAAACCAUUUUAAAAAGUUCUCAAUAGUUCAGUGGGAGUGUUGAACGUCAAAAUUAAUGCCCCUUUCUAUCGACAUUGAAUUAGGUUUGCAAGGGCAUCACACAGUGGAGGCUCCAGGACCAAGAUGCAAAAGGAUAACAUUUCCUGGUGAAGAUGAGAACUUGCAGCCUCGGGACUGAGUGAUGUCUCAGUAAAUGGUCAACAUCCGGGGCAUGGGAUUCCAAAGUGUCUUCCUGCCUCCUGCUCUUAGGAUGCCAGUCUGGCCUCCUUUUGCCCCCCACCCCCAAAAGACAAGCUUUGAAACCAGAUGGCAGGAAACACAACCACAAACCUCGGAUGCGUUCUCACUCCCUGGAGAAAGGUCCUUCUUUGUGAGUAUUUGCAAUGUCCAGGAGGAAUGAAACAGAAUGAAACACACCCAUGUUCACCACCAAUGAGUGGCCACUUUAACGAGUGGCCACUUUAACAAGUGGCCAGUUUAACCAGUUGCCCCAACAAGCAUGGCCUGCAGACCUAUUCAGCAUCUCCCCAAGAAAACAUGUCUCUAAGAUAUUCAGCGACUGCUGGGGCUGCACCCAUAACAUCAUCAUUCUACCCUCAUGGGUUCUUUGAACGUACUGAGGGGUGAUGGGGCUUUUCCCAGGUGCCAGUGAACAGCUGGAGCUGGGAGGCUAGUUGCCUGACAGCUUUGGCCGCCCCAGAUUUGUUGGCACUUCCAAUCCUGUGUGCAGGGUGACCUGGAAAAGAAGACACGGAGAGUGAAGGUAGGGGAGGCCACCACGAGAACCCAGAACCCUGAGUGCUCAGAUAGCACAGGGGCCACGGCCCUGGGGCCUCUCUCUACUGUGGGCUAUGCUGUGUAUUGUGUUGCUCGCCAGCACUAGUAUAAUGUCAGAGUUUGCCCUGAGGAGCCGAUCUGUGUCUGGACCUCCCACUUUGUCCUAGCUGCCAGGAGCCUAGGCAAGGCUGAGGCUCUGUCACAGCAGGUGUGCAGUUCUCGUGGUUGUCUGUUUCUGCUUUCUUUCCAUGGCCCUCGUUCCUCUCCUACACCUGUUCUAUUAGCCCCAUGGGAGAACAGCCCAUAUUUCCGGCUGCCUCAAAGGCCUUUUGUGAAUGAGUGGAGGUACAAAUCAAUGGAUCAGGGAUUGAUGUUGCCCUGUCAAUAUUCAGAGCCAGUGGACAACACAAAGCAGGAUUCCCAGAGGGGAAAGCCACACCGGGCCAUUGGCUCUAGCUGGCCAGGGGACGUUGACUUCCUCCCAACUGCCUAACAGAUGCCUCCAUUGCACCCUUUCCAGAAAAUGGAACCCCUACCUGCUUCCCCCCUCCCUCCGACUGUGUUUCCAUAAGCUGCCACCAUAAAGCCUCUGCUUCUUG